rnacentral:lncRNA from 1 species
AAAUAGUCUACGGUUUCAUGAACCCAAUCUGCUGGGAUAGACAAAGAGAUACCAUGUCACACUGUCACAAAGACAACAUAGUACUUGCUAGCCAAACUGCACGUCAUAUGACAAAACUGAAACAAGUCUGGAACAUCUUUGGUUCUCAUUUUUGCAUCUUGUUUCACUUACUUUCCUCCUUGGCAGGGGCCUGAGCGUGAGCGCGGGGUACCCCCUUGUUGCGGCCGAUACCAAUAACAGCACUACAGCAGUAGUAAGGAAAACAUAAAAUGUGAACUUGGCGGCUGCAUCUAGCACCUCCCGAACUCUCUUUGUGUAUUGCAACCGGCGCCUGCAGGUAGAGAGAGGUCAACUGAGAGAUUGUAUCGGCUCCUGUCAAACAAACAGGAAUAUAAGCAAGAAAUGAAUCAAGUAAAUUUGUAUCGUAGUGAGCGCCACUUAAUUCUAGAGUGGGUUCUGGAAUGGCUACUGCUGAAAGGAGCACGUGAGGACUCUCCCCCGCCUUAGUUAAGGCAUCACGCAGCUCCUGCUUCAUCUGCUCCGCUUUAGCAACCGCAUCAUACAGUGCCUCCUUCUUGUUGAAAUGUGAGAUGGGCCUAGAGGCCAUAUGACAAUUUCAGAUUUGAUCUCUAAGGGCCCAUGUAUGUGGCAUGACAAGGUGGUGGGAAGUUUAGUCCCACCAUGCUAGUGGAAGGAAAGUUGGAGUGAUUUAUAAGGGUGACUCUUCUACAUGCUAUUGGAGCUUGAGAAAAGAAGAGGCCCUCGCGCACUCCUCCUCCUCCGCUCGCCUCGCCACGGCACGGCUCGUCCCGACGCGGCGCGGGUUGCGGGAUGCGGGAUGCGGGUUUUUGGGAAGCGACUACGCGACUGCUCGCCUCCGAUUCACUACUUCCUCUACAUCCGCGCCGUCUCCGUCAUCACCAUGUCCAGCGACGCCGAACGCGCCGCCGCUGAGAAGACCGAGGCCGACAAGAAGGCCGCCGAGGACGCUUCUGCUGCUGCUGUCACCGCGGCAGCGGCUUCUGCAUGGUCUACUGGAGGGUAUACCGCAUUUAUCCCUCUCCUGAUAAUUUCUGUAUUAGCAGUGCUAGCAUCAUGUGUAGAUUUGUCUACUAUUUGGUAGUACGUGCUCGUUUAAAUCAGUACCAAUAUGUUGUUAGUUCUGUCAAUGCCAUGCUAGUUAUCUACUUAUGGAUUAAAUUGGUCGAAAAAUUGCCUAUUUUCUUAGCAAUCCAAAAACCUAUUAUGUGUAGGAAUUUUUCGGCAAGUGGCUUUGCCGCAGCACUGAAACCGGAUAAGUUUACCGGUACGUAUUUCAAGCGUUGGCAGACAAAGACCACUUUAUUGCUCACGGCUAUGAACGUGUUAUGGGUCACCGGGGUGUCCACGGGAACGAUUGCUCCUGAACAGGAGAAGGCGUUCAGGGAGGCAACCACUGUGUUUCUCGGAGCAGUUCUUAGCGUGAUCUGAGAUAAACUGGUCGACGCAUAUUUACAUGUGCAUGUCGCCAAGGACUUGUGGGAGGCGCUCGAAUCUAAGUUCGGGGCCGCCGAUGCAGGGAGCGAGAUGUAUAUUAUAGAGCAGUUCCACGAUUACAAGAUGGUCGAGAACCGUCCUGUACUGGAGCAGGCUCAUGAGAUAAUAUGCAUUGUUAAGGAGCUUGAGCUUCUGAAGUGCAAGUUACCGGGCAAGUUUGUCGCGGGCUGCAUAAUCGCUAAGCUCCCCAAUUCCUGGAGGAACUUUGCCACCACUCUGAAACAUCAGAGGCGUGAAUUCUCUGUGGAGGAUGUCAUUGGCCAUCUGAGUGUUGAGCAGAAUUCGAGGACAAAGGACUCGCACGGAAAAGGGGCCGAAGGGACUUCUGUUGCCAACAUGGUGAACCAGAGGAACUUCAACUCCCACAAGUUCAAGGGAAAGAAUGGUGUCCAACAGAAUACCGACUUCAAGAAUAAGGGUAAGAAGACCUUCAAGAAGAACAAGAAGGAUGAGGGCUGCUUUACUUGUGGUUCAGCUGAACAUUGGGCCAACAAGUGCCCAAACAAGUUUAAAAAGUCAGGACAGGACUCCAAGUCUGUCAACAUGAUUGUGGGCAACAAUGAGAAUGGUGCAUCUGUGUACGGUAAUUUAUUUACUGUUUUUUCAGUGUUUCAGCCUACCGAUUGGUGGGUGGAUACAGGUGAAGGUGUUCAUGUGUGUGCUGACAUUUCAUUGUUCUCUUCUUACCAGGUCACAGGCCAUGGGUCCGUAUUGAUGGGGAAUGGCGCGAGUGCUUCUGUUCAUGGUGUUGGCACGGUCGAUCUGAAGUUUACUUCGGGAAGGAUCGUGCAGCUGAAGAACGUGCAGCAUGUCCCCGCCAUCAAGAAGAACCUCGUUAGUGGCUCCCUUCUAUGUAGAGAAGGGUUUAAGUUGGUAUUCGAGUCUAAUAAAUUAGUUGUUACUAAGUAUGGACUAUUUGUUGGAAAAGGUUAUGAGAGCGGAGGGAUGUUCCGCCUUUCCCUCGCAGAUUUCUGUAAUAAAGUCGUGAACCAUAUUCAUUCGAGUGUUAACGAAUCUGAGGUUUGGCAUUCACGUCUUUGUCACAUAAGUUUCGGUGUUAUGACGCGGCUAGCUAAGUUGGAUUUAAUCCCGAGUUUCACUUUAGCCAAAGGUUCUAAGUGCCUGUCAUGUGUGCAAGCUAAGCAACCUCGCCAGCCUCACAAAGCUGCGGAGGAGAGACACUUGGCACCAUUAGAACUCAUACAUUCUGAUCUUUGUGAGAUGAACGGUGUAUUGACUAAAGGUGGAAAGAAAUACUUCAUGACAUUGAUAGAUGAUUCCACUAGAUAUUGCUAUGUGUAUCUGUUAAAUACUAAAGAUGAGGCUCUACACUACUUUAAAAUCUAUAGGGCAGAAGUUGAGAAUCAACUUGAAAAGAAAAUUAAACGAUUCCGUUCAGAUCGUGGUGGAGAGUACUUCUCAAGUGAUUUUGAUUCCUUCUGUGCGGAACACGGCAUUAUUCAUGAGAGGACGCCUCCCUAUUCACCCCAGUCAAACGGGGUUGCCGAGCAGAAAAACCGUACUCUAACUGAUCUGGUUAACGUCAUGUUAGACAUAUCGGGUUUAUCCAAGGCAUGAUGGGGGGAGGCUAUAUUGAUGGCAUGUCAUGUCCUGAAUAAAGUUCCCUUAAAGGAUAAUGAGAUCACUCCCUAUGAGAGAUGGGAAAAGAGAAGGACAACACUAUCGUACUUGCGUACUUGGGGCUGUUUGGCGAAAGUCAACGUGCCGAUCCCCAAAAAGCGUAAGCUUGGACCCAAGACUGUGAACUGCGUUAAUUUGGGCUACGCUAAGAACAGCGUUGGCUAUAGAUUUCUAGUAGUGAAAUCUGAGUUACCUGACCAGAAGGUCGAUACAAUCAUAGAGUCUAAGGAUGCUACAUUCUUUUAGGAUAUUUUUCCUAUGAGAGAUACGCAAAGCACUUCUAGACAGGAAUCUGAGGAGACUCCUGAGCCUGCCAUUCCUAUGGAAUAUUAUGAACGAACACAUGAUGAAAAUCCCGAGGAGGAUGACGAGGAAACCCUUGGUAGGGGCAAGAGACAAAGGACUGCAAAGACCUUUGGUGAUGAUUUCUUCGUGUACCUCAUGGAUGAUACUCCCACUUCUAUUUCAGAAGUGUAUGCCUCUCCAGAAGCUGAUUACUGGAAGGAUGCGGUCCGUAGCGAGAUGGAUUCCAUCAUGGCUAACGGGACAUGGGAGAUCACUGAGCGUCCCUAUGGUUGCAAACCAUUGGGAUGUAAGUGGGUGUUCAAGAAAAAGCUUCGGCCCGAUGGUACGAUUGAAAAGUACAAGGCUAGGCUUGUGGCCAAGGGCUAUGACCAGAAAGAAGAGGAAGAUUUCUUCGAUACUUAUUCACCUGUGGCUAGACUGACCACCAUUCGAGUAUUACUCUCAUUGGCGGCCUCACAUGGUCUUCUCGUCCAUCAAAUGGAUGUUAAGACGGCUUUUCUGAAUGGAGAGCUAAAUGAGGAAAUCUACAUGCAACAGCCAGAUGGCUUUGUGAUAGAUGGUCAGGAAAGAAAGGUGUGUAGGUUGCUGAAAUCUUUAUAUGGCCUUAAGCAAGCACCUAAGCAAUGGCAUGAUAAGUUCAAUACAACUCUGACAUCUGUUGGUUUCGUUGUUAAUGAGGCUGACAAAUAUGUAUACUAUCGCCAUGGUGGGGGCGAAGGAGUUAUACUGUGCUUGUAUGUUGAUGACAUACUGAUAUUCGGAACAAACCUCAAAGUCAUUGAGGAGGUCAAAUCGUUUCUGUCUCAGAACUUUGAGAUGAAGGACCUUGGUGUGGCUGAUGUUAUCUUGAACAUCAAGCUACUGAGAGAUAAUGAGGGUGGGAUCACACUUCUGCAAUCCCAUUAUGUUGAGAAGGUGUUGAGUCGUUUUGGAUAUUCGGACUGCACACCAUCUCAAACACCAUAUGAUCCUAGCGUGUUGAUUCGAAAGUCCAAAGGCAUGGCUAAAGAUCAAUUGAGAUACUCUCAAAUCAUUGGUUCACUGAUGUACCUAGCGAGCGCAACGAGGCCUGACAUCGAAUUUGCUGUGAGCAAACUGAGCCGGUUUGUUUCCAAACCGGGUGAUGUACAUUGGCAUGCUGUUGAAAGAGUUAUGCGCUAUGUGAAAGGUACUAUGAACUAUGGACUUCACUAUACCGGAGACCCGUCGGUACUUGAAGGGUAUAGUGAUGCGAAUUGGAUCUUUGAUGCUGAUGAGAUGAAGGCCACAACUGGGUAUAUGUUUACUCUUGGAGGUGGCGCUGUUUUCUAGAAGUCUUGCAAGCAAACGAUCUUAACGAGAUCGACAAUGGAAGCAGAAUUAACAGCAUUAGACACUUCUGAUGUUGAAGCAGGAUGGCUUCGAGAUCUUUUGAUGGACUUGCCACUGGUUGAUAAACCGGUUUCGGCUAUCCUUAUGAACUGUAAUAAUCAGACUGUCAUCAUCAAGGUGAAGAGUUCAAAGGACAACAUGAAGUCCAACAAACACAUACGAAUGAGAUUAAAAGCUGUCAGAAAAUUAAGAAACUCCGGAGUGAUAGCGCUAGACUAUGUCCAUACGGCUAAGAAUCUGGCAGAUCCCUUUACGAAAGGGCUAUCACGUGUAGUGAUAGAUAGUGCAUCGAGGGAGAUGAGUAUGAGACCCACAUUAGUUGCCAUGGUGGUAACCCAACCUAUGUGAUCGGAGAUCCCGUGAAGUAGGACCUGGGAAAACAAGCCAGUGGUGAACUGAGGAGAGUAACUUUACUAACCCACUCCGUUGGAUAUGCAAUACUCUCGGAAACUGUAUGGAAGGAUGACUACUGUCUUAAUGUGUUCCAAGGCUUAUAUGUAUAAGCAAGAUGCUAUCCUACAGAGCGAUCUUUGGAGGAACACACCUAUGUGAGCCCGACUGCUAGUCACAGUCUAUGAGAUUGGGGUGAUCUCUAGUAAGCUCAUGAAUAGGCCAGGAGUGUGACUUAUAUGCUCCACCCGAGGGGUCAGCCUUCGACAACCCAGUACUAGUAAGACAUGUGGUGAAACUUCUUUACGCCAAACUGACAAUUCAAGGCAUAGUCCAUUGUUUAGUUGUGAGGGAGUGUAGCUACUUGCUCUAGGUGAAGCUCAACCUUAACAGGUCUUCACUGAAACACUAGUAUAUCAAAACAGCGUUUGAAACAAAGGACAAAGUGGGCCCCUGAGAUCUGGUGGGGGAUUGUUGAAAUGUGAGAUGGGCCUAGAGCCCAUAUGACAAUUUCAGAUUUGAUCUCUAAGGGCCCAUGUAGGUGGCAUGACAAGGUGGUGGGAAAUUUAGUCUCACCAUGCUAGUGGAAGAAAAGUUGGAGUGGUUUAUAAGGGUGACUCUUCUACAUGCUAUUGAAGCUUGAGAAGAGAAGAGGCCCUCGCGCACUCCUCCUCCUCCUCCGCUCGCCUCGCCACGCCACGCCACGCCAUGCCUCGUCACGACGCGCCGCGGGUUGCGGGAUUGAGCCGAGCCGAGCUCACUCCUAUGCGCUUCUUUUUGCCGGUCAGGAACGGAGAGUCUUUGACAGGUAGGGCCACGAUCUGAGACGUCGGAUUGUGGGCUACCGACUUGGACGUGGGUUCAGCCCACGUCUCUCCACGCGCGGCCGCACAUAUAUAUGUGGGGCGCUGCCAACCCUAGCCGCUGCGAAACAGAACGCAUCUCCGCCUCCACGCCCACGUCGUUCCUCUGCUGCUGCUGCCGCCGGCGACUCCAUCCCGUUCACCGUGUACACGGUUGACGGGAGAGCAGGUCUUCGAAACUCCGUCUCUCUGGUUCCUGUACGAGAGAGAGGCGAAUAGGUUUUUGGGAAGCGACUACGCGACUGCUCGCCUCGGAUCCACUACUUCCUCUACAUCCGCACCGUCUCCGUCAUCACCAUGUCCAGCGACGCCGAACGCGCCGCCGCCGAGAAGACCGAGGCCGACAAGAAGGCCGCCGAGGACGCUUCUGCUGCUGCUGUCACCGCGGCAGCGGCUUCUGCAUGGUCUACUGGAGGGUAUACCGCAUUUAUCCCUCUCCUGAUAAUUUCUAUAUUAGCAGUGCUAGCAUCAUGUGUAGAUUUGUCUACUAUUUGCGUAGUACGUGCUCGUUUAGAUCAGUACCAGUAUGUUGUUAGUUCUGUCAAUGCCAUGCUAGUUAUUUACUUAUGGAUUAAAUUAGUCGAAAAAUUGCCUAUUUUUUUAGCACUUCUUCUGCUGGAUCUCGUACACUUGCUGGAUUGAUAGUUGAUACACACAAUGCAUCAUAGGGAUGAGGAAAAAGCCAUCAUGCUCGGAUGGACCAGGAAAAAUAUAAGGUUGCUUAAUGAUAUGAUUUGUGUGCAGCCGUGUUGCCAGUACAUCAGGAUAUACAAGUUCAGGUCAGGUUUAACAAGUACGGCCAUGAUAAGUGUGUAAUUUUGCUCUUGUUUCUGGUCUAGUACUACUGUUCCUAAAUACUGUCCCAUUAGCCAAAAUUGAAACAAGUAUGGCCAUGGUAAGCAAGUAAUUCUGCCCUUCUCAAGUACGGUCAUGUGUAGCUAAUACUAGAUGAGACACAUGCGUACUGCAGUUUGUAUUGCACAGAAUUCCAUUAUUGCUGGCUAAAUCAAUCCUUGAUGUCGGGAGAUAAAUCAAAAAGAUGACAAUUUUGGAUCAGAUACCUCGGUGAAGAGCCCGCGGGAGCGCAUGAGCCUGCUUGGCAUGCAUGAGCCGCCCCUCCGCC